rnacentral:rRNA from 1 species
AUUGAACGCUGGCGGCAUGCUUUACACAUGCAAGUCGAACGGUAACAGGCCGCAAGGUGCUGACGAGUGGCGCACGGGUGAGUAAUGCAUCGGAACGUGCCCCGUCGUGGGGGAUAACUACUCGAAAGAGUAGCUAAUACCGCAUACGAUCUAUGGAUGAAAGCGGGGGACCGUAAGGCCUCGCGCGAUUGGAGCGGCCGAUGUCAGAUUAGGUAGUUGGUGGGGUAAAGGCUCACCAAGCCAACGAUCUGUAGCUGGUCUGAGAGGACGACCAGCCACACUGGGACUGAGACACGGCCCAGACUCCUACGGGAGGCAGCAGUGGGGAAUUUUGGACAAUGGGCGCAAGCCUGAUCCAGCAAUGCCGCGUGCAGGAAGAAGGCCUUCGGGUUGUAAACUGCUUUUGUACGGAACGAAACGGCUCUGGUUAAUACCCGGGGCUAAUGACGGUACCGUAAGAAUAAGCACCGGCUAACUACGUG